rnacentral:rRNA from 1 species
UACGAAGGGGGCUAGCGUUGCUCGGAAUCACUGGGCGUAAAGGGUGCGUAGGCGGGUCUUUAAGUCAGGGGUGAAAUCCUGGAGCUCAACUCCAGAACUGCCUUUGAUACUGAAGAUCUGGAGUCCGGGAGAGGUGAGUGGAACUGCGAGUGUAGAGGUGAAAUUCGUAGAUAUUCGCAAGAACACCAGUGGCGAAGGCGGCUCACUGGCCCGGUACUGACGCUGAGGUGCGAAAGCGUGGGGAGCAAACAGG